GUGCUUGUUUUGCCAGCACAUAUACUAAAAUUGGAACAUUACAGAUGAUUAGCAUGGCCCCUGCAUAAGAAUGACACACAAAUUCGUGAAAUUUUAAGUAGUUUU